CGGCAGGUCUAGUUACAGUACAGAUCAUCACAAAAUAUUAGAAUCUGGUAAUAAAUUCGGGAUCUGCACACACAGUGGAAGGUGUGACUGUGUGUGAAAAUUUACUACCCGAAAAAAAAGAAAGAAACAAAAAUGUCAGACGACGAUGAAGAAACGAGUACAGAGCCGGAAGAGCUGAGUCACAAGCAAAAACUAGAAAUUGCAAAAUGGUUCCUCAUCAAUUCUCCCCCUGGCGAAAUCCAAUACGUAGCCAAAGAUGUUAAAGCGGUUUUGAAAGAUGAAAAUGUAUAUGAAGCAGCGGCAGCGGAGGCAUUUCCUCUGUACAACAAAUCUCACAUGAUUUGCCUACAACUUCCUGACCGAAGUGGCGAUGUGAUGGUGACAUCGUUUAGUGAGAUUACUGAAGAUGAAUAUCUUGAUCCUAGGACUGCCCAAGUGGCUGUGGUUAACCAUGUUAAGCAAGCUUGCACAGAAGUUAGACCGGCAAGUGAUGAAGAACUGCCAUCUGCAUAUGUAGAGGAAUAUCGGUGCGCGGUGGAUGCAGAAAUUAGCAAGUAUGUUGGCGAAGCUUAUCCGAAAGGUGUAUGCUCAGUCUACUCUACCAAAGGAAAGCAUGUGGAAGAACCUGGAUCUAAUUUUGAGCUUGUUGUGGUGAUUUUAGCUUCUAGACAUAGUCCUCAAAAUUUCUGCAAUGGAAGUUGGCGGUCAAUAUGGAAUGUUGUGUUUGAGGAUGAGCUACAAAUUGUGGAACUGAGAGGCAGAAUGGAGGUAGGGGCCCACUAUUUUGAAGAGGGAAAUGUCCAAUUAGAUGCAAAACAUGAAUGCAAGGAUUCAACUGCAUUUCAGGUCAAGAGUAUGCUAAUUCGCCUGAUGAUUGUGCUGCUUCUGUGGUGAAUAUAAUUCGCCAUCAUGAGACGGAGUACCUCAAUUCUCUUCAGACAUCUUAUUUGAAUCUGCCUGAUACAACUUUCAAGGACCUUCGAAGAAAGCUUCCAGUUACUCGGACACUAUUCCCGUGGCACAACACUAUGCAGUUCAGCUUGACCAGAGAUAUAUCAAAAGAACUUGGCAUUGGAAAAUAGGAUAUGGUAUAAUCAGCAUCUAUUUUUGAGAUUUCAUCCAGCAGUGUUUUUGCUCUGCGUAUGUAGAUCCAAAAAUUUUCGUCCGAGACUGCAUACAACAUUCUUUAUUCCGUUUUUACAACCUUCUAAAAAUUUGAGAUUAUUGUGAGGAUUUAAGGAAAGGGUGCGGGGGCAGAAAUGCUGAAGAGCUAAAUACAGUUAUAGUUCCUUGAGCUGCAAUGGAAAAAUGCUGGAACCAGUCUGUUCUUCUUCCUGCAAAAUCAUCUUUGUCACAUGGUGCUCGUAAAUUUUUCUGCUUGUGUCUGAUCGUACCUAAUUCCAAAUGAUGAUGGGCAUCUUGUUGCCUCGAGUUUGUUUAUGUUUUUUCUUCUGUGAUGUGAUGGAAGUGAAAAUGGAACCAUCUCUCAUUUCUAGUUC